AGAACGAACGCUGGCGGCAUGCCUAACACAUGCAAGUCGAACGAGAUCUUCGGAUCUAGUGGCGCACGGGUGCGUAACGCGUGGGAAUCUGCCUUUCGGUACGGAAUAACUCAUGGAAACGUGUGCUAAUACCGUAUGAUGUCGCGAGACCAAAGAUUUAUCGCCGAGAGAUGAGCCCGCGUAGGAUUAGCUAGUUGGUGGGGUAAAGGCCUACCAAGGCGACGAUCCUUAGCUGGUCUGAGAGGAUGAUCAGCCACACUGGGACUGAGACACGGCCCAGACUCCUACGGGAGGCAGCAGUGGGGAAUAUUGGACAAUGGGCGCAAGCCUGAUCCAGCAAUGCCGCGUGAGUGAUGAAGGCCUUAGGGUUGUAAAGCUCUUUUACCCGGGAAGAUAAUGACUGUACCGGGAGAAUAAGCCCCGGCUAACUCCGCGCCAGCAGCCGC
rnacentral:rRNA from 1 species